rnacentral:rRNA from 1 species
AUGGGUGACAUGAAUGAACUUCUGUAUGAUAUGGACAAAAGCAAUCCUAAUGUCAAUUAUCACCGUUUAUAUGAUUUUUAUUCUCUCAUAAAAAAUGUGGUUUUUGAUUUGGGAUUUAGUGGUCCUGCUUAUACUUGGACUAAUAUAAAAUUUUCUUCUUCCCCCACUUAUGAGCGGCUUAAAAGAGGCUUGGUGAACCCUGAUUGGUGUGCAGUUUUUCCAAAUACUAAAGUGCUUAAUCUUCCUAUAAUCAUUGGUGACCAUGCCCCCAUUUUCAUUACCACUGAAGGCCAAUAUAAAAAAAUCUCGACAAACUUUCAAAUUUGA